UUCAUGCAGGGGUGGUUUUGGAUGCUGUUGUUUAAUACAGCAGUCUUUGAGUCACCCAUACUCGUACUUGUGGGUGAGCAGAGAGAAGGAGCCUGAGUGUCUACAGUGUCCCUGCCACUUCUGUGAAACAACUGACCUGACUUCUAAGUCAGAUUACAGAUUUGGAGUAAAAUUCUGGCUGAGGCUGCUGCGGUGGCUCCGCAUGUAAGGAUGCUUGCCUGAUGACCCGAGUUCACCCUCCAGAACUGUAAUGAAGGUACAAGGAGAGUACUGACUCCACCAAGUGACCCCCUCACUUUUGAACAAUGCUCCCCACAGCAC